rnacentral:rRNA from 1 species
UACGGGGGAGCAAGCGUUGUUCGGAUUUACUGGGCGUAAAGGGCGCGUAGGCGGCACCGCAAGUCGACUGUGAAAUCUCCGGGCUUAACUCGGAAAGGUCAGCCGAUACUGCGGGCUAGAGUGCAGAAGGGGCAACUGGAAUUCUCGGUGUAGCGGUGAAAUGCGUAGAUAUCGAGAGGAACACCUGCGGCGAAGGCGGGUUGCUGGCUGACACUGACGCUGAUGCGCGAAAGCUAGGGGAGCGAACGGG